rnacentral:rRNA from 1 species
CCUACGGGGCGCACCAGUAAGGAAUAUUGGUCAAUGGACGCAAGUCUGAACCAGCUAUGCCGCGUGGAGGAUGAAGGCCCUCUGGGUUGUAAACUUCUUUUAUAGGGGACGAAAAAGGGACUUUCUAGUCCAGCUGACGGUACCCUAGGAAUAAGCACCGGCUAACUCCGUGCCAGCAGCCGCGGUAAUACGGAGGGUGCAAGCGUUAUCCGGAUUCACUGGGUUUAAAGGGUGCGUAGGUGGGUUAGUAAGUCAGUGGUGAAAUCUUCGAGCUUAACUCGGAAACUGCCAUUGAUACUAUUAGUCUUGAAUAUUGUGGAGGUUAGCGGAAUGUGUCAUGUAGCGGUGAAAUGCUUAGAUAUGACAUAGAACACCAAUUGCGAAGGCAGCUGGCUACACAUAUAUUGACACUGAGGCACGAAAGCGUGGGGAUCAAACAGGAUUAGAUACCCGUGUAGUC